UCCACCAUGGACUUCGGGCAGCUCUGCUGUGUGGUCCUCUGUCUCCUGGGCAUAGCCAUCUCUGCAGACCCUGGGAUCACUCAGAUACCAAAAUACCUAGUCAUGGGAAUGAUGGACAAGAAAUCUUUGAAAUGUGAACAACAUCUAGGACAUAAUGCUAUGUACUGGUAUAAACAGAGUGCCCAGAAGCCGCCAGAGCUCAUGUUCAUCUACAACUACAAGGAACUCGCUGAAAAUGCGAGUGUUCCAAGUCGCUUCCAGCCUAGAUGCCCAGAGAGUUCCCAGUGCCUCCUGGACCUGAACGCCCCGAAACCACAGGACGCUGCCGUGUACCUCUGCGCCAGCAGACACUUGGUACCUGGUGUCAGCCAGAACCCUUGCUACUACAUCACAGAGAUGGGAUGGGAUGUGACCCUGCGGUGUGACCCCAUGCCUGGUCCUCUGUACCACAGUGGUACCGACAGAAAGGGCAUGGAGUUUCUGAUGUCCAUCUACAACAAAGAACUUUCAGAAAAGGCACACUUUUUGGAGGAUUGCUUCUCAGCUGAGAUGCCCAACAGUGUGUAG